rnacentral:rRNA from 1 species
AUAGACGCUGGCGGCAUGCUUAACACAUGCAAGUCGAACGGAAACGCGAAAAGCUUGCUCUUUGGCGUCGAGUGGCGGCGGGUGAGUAACGCGUGGGAAUCUACCCAGUAGUGGAGGACAGCCAGGUGAAAACCUGAUUAAUACUGCAUACGAUCUACGGAUGAAAGGUGGCCUCUCCUUGGAAGCUAUCGCUAUUGGAUGAGCCCGCGUAAGAUUAGCUAGUUGGUGGGGUAAUGGCCUACCAAGGCAACGAUCUUUAGCUGGUCUGAGAGGACGACCAGCCACAUCGGGACUGAGACACGGCCCGGACUCCUACGGGAGGCAGCAGUGGGGAAUAUUGGACAAUGGGCGCAAGCCUGAUCCAGCAAUGCCGCGUGUGUGAAGAAGGCCUUAGGGUUGUAAAGCACUUUCAAUUGUGAAGAAGGGUGUAAGUUUAAUACACUUGUAUCUUGACGUUAACUUUAGAAGAAGCACCGGCUAACUCUGUGCCAGCAGCCGCGGUAAUACAGAGGGUGCAAGCGUUAAUCGGAAUUACUGGGCGUAAAGCGCGCGUAGGCGGUUAGAUAAGUAAGAUGUGAAAUCCCCGGGCUCAACCUGGGAACUGCAUCUUAAACUGUUUAACUAGAGUUUAGGAGAGGGAAGUAGAAUUUCAGGUGUAGCGGUGAAAUGCAUAGAGAUCUGAAGGAAUACCAGUGGCGAAGGCGACUUCCUGGCCUAGAACUGACGCGAGGUGCGAAAGCGUGGGUAGCAAACGGGAGUUAGAUACCCCGUAGUCCCGCCGUAAACGAUGUCAACUAGUCGUUGGACCCCUUGAGGGUUUAGUGACGCAGCUAACGCAUUAUUGACCGCCUGGGGAGUACGUCGCAAGACUAAAACUCAAAGAAUGACG